UACGAAGGGGGCUAGCGUUGCUCGGAAUCACUGGGCGUAAAGCGCACGUAGGCGGCUUCUUAAGUCAGGGGUGAAAUCCUGGAGCUCAACUCCAGAACUGCCUUUGAUACUGAGAAGCUUGAGUCCGGGAGAGGUAAGUGGAACUGCGAGUGUAGAGGUGAAAUUCGUAGAUAUUCGCAAGAACACCAGUGGCGAAGGCGGCUCACUGGCCCGGUACUGACGCUGAGGUGCGAAAGCGUGGGGAGCAAACAGG
rnacentral:rRNA from 1 species